rnacentral:rRNA from 1 species
UACGGGGGGGGCAAGCGUUGUUCGGAAUUACUGGGCGUAAAGGGCUCGUAGGCGGCCAACUAAGUCGGACGUGAAAUCCCCAAGCUCAACCUGGGAACUGCGUCUGAUACUGGAUGGCUUGAAUUCGGGAGAGGGAUGCAGAAUUCCAGGUGUAGCGGUGAAAUGCGUAGAUAUCUGGAGGAAAACCGGUGGCGAAGGCGGCAUCCUGGACCGACAUUGACGCUGAGGAGCGAAAGCUAGGGGAGCAAACGGG